UGGGGAAUUUUGCACAAUGGGGGCAACCCUGAUGCAGCGACGCCGCGUGAUUUAGAAGGCCUUCGGGUUGUAAAAAUCUUUUGUAUGGGAAGAAAAUGACAGUACCAUACGAAUAAGGACCGGCUAAUUACGUGCCAGCAGCCGCGGUAAUACGUAAGGUCCGAGCGUUGUCCGGAAUCAUUGGGCGUAAAGGGUACGUAGGCGGAUAAGCAAGUUAGAAGUGAAAUCCUAUAGCUCAACUAUAGUAAGCUUUUAAAACUGCUCAUCUUGAGGUAUGGAAGGGAAAGUGGAAUUCCUAGUGUAGCGGUGAACUGCGCAGAUAUUAGGAGGAAUACCGGUGGCGAAGGCGACUUUCUGGCCAUAAACUGACGCUGAGGUACGAAAGCGUGGGUAGCAAACAGG
rnacentral:rRNA from 1 species